rnacentral:rRNA from 1 species
UACGAAGGGGGCUAGCGUUGUUCGGAAUUACUGGGCGUAAAGCGCACGUAGGCGGAUAUUUAAGUCAGGGGUGAAAUCCCAGAGCUCAACUCUGGAACUGCCUUUGAUACUGGGUAUCUUGAGUAUGGAAGAGGUAAGUGGAAUUGCGAGUGUAGAGGUGAAAUUCGUAGAUAUUCGCAGGAACACCAGUGGCGAAGGCGGCUUACUGGUCCAUAACUGACGUUCAGGCACGAAAGCGUGGGGAGCAAACAGG